AUGGGGCUCACGUUCACGAAGCUGUUCAGCCGGCUCUUCGCCAAGAAGGAGAUGAGGAUCCUCAUGGUCGGUCUCGAUGCGGCUGGUAAGACCACCAUCCUCUACAAGCUCAAGCUCGGAGAGAUCGUCACCACCAUCCCCACAAUCGGGUUUAAUGUCGAAACUGUAGAGUACAAGAACAUUAGUUUCACCGUUUGGGAUGUCGGGGGUCAGGACAAGAUCAGGCCCCUGUGGAGGCACUACUUCCAGAACACCCAGGGUCUCAUUUUUGUCGUGGACAGCAAUGACAGAGAGCGUGUUGUUGAGGCAAGAGAUGAGCUUCACCGGAUGCUGAAUGAGGAUGAGCUGCGUGAUGCUGUGCUGCUGGUGUUUGCCAACAAGCAAGAUCUUCCUAAUGCCAUGAACGCUGCUGAAAUCACUGACAAGCUUGGCCUGCAUUCUCUGCGCCAGCGACACUGGUACAUCCAGAGCACAUGUGCUACCUCUGGAGAGGGGUUGUACGAGGGCCUUGACUGGCUGUCCAACAACAUUGCCAACAAGUGCAAACACACAUGA
rnacentral:rRNA from 1 species